rnacentral:rRNA from 1 species
UUUGAUCCUGGCUCAGAAUGAACGUUGGCGGCGUGGAUUAGGCAUGCAAGUCGUACGCUCCAGGGGCAAUCUGGAGAGUGGCGUAAGGGAGAGUAAUCCAUAGUUAGCUACCCUCGGGACUGGGAUAGCGGCGGGAAACUGCCGGUAAUACCAGAUGAUGUCUUCGGACCAAACGUGUAAACCGGCCCGAGGAGGCGACUAUGUCCUAUCAGCUUGUUGGCGGGGUAACGGCCCACCAAGGCUAAGACGGGUAUGGGGCGUGAGAGCGUGCCCCCACUCACUGGGACUGAGACACUGCCCAGACACCUACGGGUGGCUGCAGUCGAGAAUCUUCGGCAAUGGGCGCAAGCCUGACCGAGCG